rnacentral:rRNA from 1 species
GAGUUUGCUCCUGGCUCAGAAUGAACGUUGGCGGCGUGGAUUAGGCAUGCAAGUCGAGCGGGCGCAGCAAUGCGUUUAGCGGCGGAAGGGAUAGUAACGCGUAGAUACCAACCCCUCGGUCAGGGAUAGCCAUUGGAAACGAUGGGUAAUACCUGAUAACAUCCCCGGAUCAAAGGUGAGAUUCCGCCGGGGGACGGGUCUGCGUCCUAUUAGCUUAUUGGUGAGGUAAUGGCUCACCAAGGCGACGAUGGGUACCGGGCGUCAGAGCGUGACCCGGAUCACUGGGACUGAGACACUGCCCAGACACCUACGGGUGGCUGCAGUCGAGAAUCUUCGGCAAUGGACGAAAGUCUGACCGAGCGACGCCGCGUGCGGGAUGAAGGUCUUCGGAUUGUAAACCGCUGUCGAGUUGGAGGAAAUGUAUGAGGGUAAUCUCUCAUAUUUGACCGAAAGCAGAAGGAAGGACGGGCUAAGUUCGUGCCAGCAGCCGCGGUAAUACGAACCGUCCAAACGUUAUUCGGAAUCACUGGGCUUAAAGGGUGCGUAGGCGGGAUGACCAGUCAG